UACGAAGGGGCUAGCGUUGUUCGGAUUUACUGGGCGUAAAGCGCACGUAGGCGGAUUGUUAAGUGAGGGGUGAAAUCCCGGGGCUCAACCUCGGAACUGCCUUUCAUACUGGCAAUCUAGAGUCCGGAAGAGGUGAGUGGAACUCCUAGUGUAGAGGUGGAAUUCGUAGAUAUUAGGAAGAACACCAGUGGCGAAGGCAGCUCACUGGUCCGGUACUGACGCUGAGGUGCGAAAGCGUGGGGAGCAAACAGG
rnacentral:rRNA from 1 species